UGCGUAGGCGGUUUAUCAAGUCAGGGGUGAAAGGCUACGGCUCAACCGUAGUGAGCCUCUGAAACUGGUGAACUUGAGUGUAGGAGAGGAAAGUGGAAUUCCCAGUGUAGCGGUGAAAUGCGUAGAUAUUGGGAAGAACACCAGUGGCGAAGGCGACUUUCUGGACUACAACUGACGCUGAGGCACGAAAGCGUGGGGAAGCAAACA
rnacentral:rRNA from 1 species